UACGGAGGGGGCUAGCGUUGUUCGGAAUUACUGGGCGUAAAGCGCACGUAGGCGGACUGGAAAGUCAGGGGUGAAAUCCCGGGGCUCAACCCCGGAACUGCCUUUGAAACUCCCGGUCUUGAGGUCGAGAGAGGUGAGUGGAAUUCCGAGUGUAGAGGUGAAAUUCGUAGAUAUUAGGAAGAACACCAGUGGCGAAGGCGGCUCACUGGUCCGGUACUGACGCUGAGGUGCGAAAGCGUGGGGAGCAAACAGG
rnacentral:rRNA from 1 species